rnacentral:rRNA from 1 species
ACAAAGAAGAGUUUGAUCCUGGCUCAGGAUGAACGCUAGCGAUAGGCUUAACACAUGCAAGUCGAGGGGCAGCAUUUCGGAUGGCGACCGGCGCACGGGUGAGUA